GUAAGAUUCCUUCAUUUCAUCCAAAAAGUUGGUUGAAUUAUUUGGAAAUGGAGAAAUCUUACAG
rnacentral:pre_miRNA from 1 species